rnacentral:sRNA from 1 species
CUCCUGGAGGCGGUGCUGAAACUGCUGCCCCUGGACACCUAUGUGGAGAAUCCGGCUGCAGUCAUGGAGCUGGUGCCCAGCGACAAGGAGAGGGGCCUGCAGACCCCGGUGUGGACGGAGUACGAGUCCAUCCUACGUGGGGCCGGCUGCACGAGAGCCCUGGCAAAGAUAGAGAGGUUUGAGUUUUAUGAGCGGGCUAAGAAGGCUUUUGCUGUUGUGGCAACGGGGUGAGUUCCAGCUGGCUCAGACCUGCCCCCAUCCCCACCGGGGCCUCAGGAGCUGCCCCCACCCCCACCGGGACCUCAGAAGCUGCCCCUACCCUCUUCUCAGCUUCUGCCUGGCUGAGGCUAGACGUCCCACAGAGUGGAGAGACAGGGAGGAAUUUCAGGGGGGCAGGGCCCCCAUUUGCCUGAGCAUCAAGUGGGUGAAGGUGGACAGGGUCU